rnacentral:rRNA from 1 species
AGCAGCCGCGGUAAUUCCAGCUCCAAUAGCGUAUAUUAAAGUUGUUGCAGUUAAAAAGCUCGUAGUUGAAUUUCGGGAUCAAUAUGUCGGUCGUGCCUCGGUACGUACUGGUAUCAUUGGUUUCUCCCUUCUGAUGAACCAUGAUGCCAUUAAUUUGGUGUCGUGGGGAAUCAGGACUGCUACUUUGAAAAAAUUAGAGUGUUUAAAGCAGGCUCACGCUUGAAUACAUUAGCAUGGAAUAAUGAAAUAGGACGUUUGAUUCUAUUUUGUUGGUUUCUAGGAUCGACGUAAUGAUUAAUAGGGAUAGUUGGGGGCAUUAGUAUUCAAUUGUCAGAGGUGAAAUUCUUGGAUUUAUUGAAGACUAACUACUGCGAAAGCAUUUGCCAAGGAUGUUUUCAUUAAUCAAGAACGAAAGUUAGGGGAUCGAAGACGAUCAGAUACCGUCGUAGUCUUAACCAUAAACUAUGCCGACUAGGGAUCGGAUGAUGUAAUUUUUAAUGACUCAUUC